CUUGGUGAUUUGAGCGGCGAGGGUACACCCGGUCCCAUCCCGAACCCGGAAGUUAAGCUCGUCAGCGCCGAUGGUACUUGGUGGGUAACUGCCUGGGAGAGUAGGUCAUCGCCAAGA
rnacentral:rRNA from 3 species